GAUGAACGCUAGCGGCAGGCCUAACACAUGCAAGUCGAGGGAGGGGUUACCUUCGGGUAACCAACACCGGCGCACGGGUGCGUAACGCGUAUACAAUCUGCCUUUCACAUAGGGAUAGCCCGAAGAAAUUUGGAUUAAUACCUAAUGGUAUAUAAGAGCGGCAUCGUUUUUAUAUUAAAGCUACGGUGGUGAAAGAUGAGUAUGCGUUCUAUUAGCUAGUUGGAGAGGUAACGGCUCCCCAAGGCGACGAUAGAUAGGGGUUCUGAGAGGGAUGUCCCCCACACUGGUACUGAGAUACGGACCAGACUCCUACGGGAGGCAGCAGUGAGGAAUAUUGGACAAUGGUCGGAAGACUGAUCCAGCCAUGCCGCGUGCAGGAUGAAGGUCCUAUGGAUUGUAAACUGCUUUUGUAAGGGAAGAAUAAGGAGUACGUGUACUUUGAUGACGGUACCUUACGAAUAAGCAGCGGCUAACUCCGUG
rnacentral:rRNA from 1 species